CACUGGUCGAAAGUUGUUGUCGCUCUCCUGAUGAACCCAAGGCAGGACGAAACUAGUG
rnacentral:hammerhead_ribozyme from 1 species